UGUGCGUUGUAAGGGUAGCAUUCUGCCUACGUUAUCAUGAUUGGCUGGCUAUGUGCAGUGGAUGAUAAGAAUGGAAUAUAGAAUGAUGGGAAAGGAAUCACUACAGUAUACCAGUCCUGCUGAUACUUCGCAGCAUACUUCUUGUGGAACUAGCAUACGCACUAGGUAUUUUUUAUGCGUUUGUUUAUUCCUAUUUUAAACACUUAAGGAAAUGACACAAAGUGGGAGGCUAUGUUAUAUGCAGGGUAAAAUCUUAAGUGAAUUUCCACAGCCACCUAGUUCAGCCUAAUUUACGGCGCACUAAGAUUGUGUCGAAAAGCCAGCUACCAAAGAAUCAAACAAAGGUGUAACUUACAAGAAUGGACAAGUCUUAUAUUCAAACCUUGAAAACACACAUUUCAAAUAAGAAUUUGAGCUUGAGAAAUCUGCACUUCUGGCUGGCCCUCCAGUUUCUUAAACUUCAGUAAUGUUGUCCCAUAGUAGGUGGUCCUCAGUGGUGUCAGUUGAGCUUCAGAUGCCAGUUCUCUUGAAGCUUUUGAUGACAGUGUCAUCAGAAAUCAUGCUCUGUGCCUCUAGGACCAAUGGAUACAACAGUUCCACUGGCAGCCUUUUAAACUUGCCUCCUGGUGUCAGGGAAUGAUCACAAAUAGUGAAAGUCUGUGAUUCUUUGUAUGUAGAAGGCAGCUGCUGACAUGUUCUCAUGAAGCCCAUGCCGCCACAUGAAGCACAUCAUCCAGUCGCUGCUAGCGUUGAAGUUUAUAGUUGGAAUGCCCUGCUUCCUUCUGUUUUCACAACGCGGACGACACCGUGUCAAAGGAAGUUAUGGAAAAGAGACUGAAAGCAGUGCACUGGUACCCCUUGCAGCAAUUGGAUGUUAUAAAUGUGAUUUCCACAUCACACACAUACCAUGACCUGAAGUUUUGGAUGGAAUGGUGAGCAUAUUUAUGCAGUGAGCCAUCAUAAGUGCCGACUGGCAUACUCUAGUGUUCAAAGGCACUGAAUAUAGUCUAAUUAAGACUGCAAGACUGUAAUGCAAUCACAGUCAGAAUUCAUCAAUUCAAUAAACAAUACACAUUUGAACAGGGGUCUCUGGUACAAUGGCAU